GACGAACGCUGACGGCGUGCUUAACACAUGCAAGUCGAACGGUGAAGCGCCUUCCUUUUUGGUGGGUGUGGAUGAGUGGCGAACGGGUGAGUAACACGUGAGUAACCUGCCCCCUUCUUCUGGAUAACCGCAUGAAAGUGUGGCUAAUACGGGAUAUUCUGGGUCUGUCGCAUGAUGGGUCUGGGAAAGAUAUUGUUUCGGUGGGGGAUGGGCUCGCGGCCUAUCAGCUUGUUGGUGGGGUGAUGGCCUACCAAGGCGGUGACGGGUAGCCGGCCUGAGAGGGUGGACGGUCACACUGGGACUGAGACACGGCCCAGACUCCUACGGGAGGCAGCAGUGGGGAAUAUUGCACAAUGGGCGCAAGCCUGAUGCAGCGACGCCGCGUGAGGGAUGGAGGCCUUCGGGUUGUGAACUUCUUUCGCCAGUGAAGCAGGCCUGCCUCGUUUGUGGGUGGGUUGACGGUAGCUGGAUAAGAAGCGCCGGCUAACUACGUG
rnacentral:rRNA from 1 species